rnacentral:rRNA from 1 species
AUUGAACGCUGGCGGCAGGCCUAACACAUGCAAGUCGAGCGGAUGGCGGGAGCUUGCUCCUUGAUUCAGCGGCGGACGGGUGAGUAAUGCCUAGGAAUCUGCCUGGUAGUGGGGGACAACGUUUCGAAAGGAACGCUAAUACCGCAUACGUCCUACGGGAGAAAGCAGGGGACCUUCGGGCCUUGCGCUAUCGGAUGAGCCUAGGUCGGAUUAGCUAGUAGGUGAGGUAAUGGCUCACCUAGGCGACGAUCCGUAACUGGUCUGAGAGGAUGAUCAGUCACACUGGAACUGAGACACGGUCCAGACUCCUACGGGAGGCAGCAGUGGGGAAUAUUGGACAAUGGGCGAAAGCCUGAUCCAGCCAUGCCGCGUGUGUGAAGAAGGUCUUCGGAUUGUAAGGCACUUUAAGUUGGGAGGAAGGGCAGUAAGUUAAUACCUUGCUGUUUUGACGUUACCGACAGAAUAAGCACCGGCUAACUCUGUGCCAGCCGCCGCAGUAACAC